CAACUCCUCCUCCGCUGCCUCUCUUUUCCCCUUGUGGGGCAAAGAGCAGCUCCAAAGGGCUGUUUUGAUCUGGAAAUGUUAGAGUUGAAAUCCCCAUACCAAAUGUUGAGAACUGUUUGGAUAUGGGACCCCUCCCCUCUGCAGUGGCGUCUUUGUAAAAAUAAAAAUUCCAGAAUUCCAGUUCAGAGAUCACUCAGAAUGGUUGGCACAGCAGAGAUAAACAGCUGAUCUCUCCUCUACAACUCUGAGGUUUUUACCAGAGCACGACAUUAUCUUGGGGCAUUUUGACCAGCAAACUGACAAACCUACAGCAAUUCUUCAAGGCUUCAGCAGAGAUCUUUCCUAGUCUUGCUUCCAGAGGUUAUUUUCAUGGAAGAGGUAGGGGAAUGGUCCUCUAACUGCCUCUGUGGACAGAAUGACAUUGAGCCAGGAAGAGAUCAUGAAAGGAUAAAAUCAAACAUAUCAUCUCCAGCUUCUACUAUUGGAAAGUGGUUGACUUUAUGAGAUGAAAUUUGGCUAAGCACCUGGUUGCGGUAUGCAAGCAUGAUUCUACUGCAAUAGAUGGAGCUGUGCCCAUUUUCUGAUAAGGAUCUAGCCCACUGUCUCACCUGUUACGAAAGACUAAAGCCUGUAAAAUGGUUGUGUAAUGAUUUAAUGCAGUCAGUUUGCUUUGUGUGGUUCCUUAUGCCAGAUUCCAAGUAGGAUUCCCAAAGUGUAUGGUAGUGAUUUAAAGGAAUUAUGCUGGGCUGGUUUAGCUAAUCACUGUCAUGUUCAUUUUUUUGUGCUUCUAAGAUUGUGUGCAGUUUGGCCAGCUGAAGAUAUGGGUCUGGAAGGUGAAGAAAUAUAUCUUCUUACCUCACCGUUCUGUCAUGGUUACUGUUCCAAUGUUCCUGAAAAACAUCGUAACGGGUUCCCAUGCCAUGGGGCUGACACGAGUUGCUGUAUGGGAGGGGGGUGGAGAUACGGUUGCACAAUGAAAGUCAGGACGUUCAGACAGGCAUUCCUUGACCACUUGGUAACUAUACAAGCACAAGAACACCAUAUUUCACUUAUGGAAAUUUCACUGAAAUUUUCUUGUGGUUUGAAACACAUUUCUAAAGCAAUCUCUGUCUCAUCAAACUGAAUAAAAACUGUGAGGAAAAAAUGCAACAUUUUUUUCUACUCUCUAUUACCUCUGAAAUACAAGCAAGAUAAUAGAGAGUGGAAGGGAAGGAGGUGUUUGUGGUUUCAGAUCAUUGAAGAUUGAGCUGGACAAGUACUUCAAGGGUCACCAUGUUUAUAUUUUAACCUAAGGGAAUAUGGCUUCUCCAAUUGUUGACUGAGCUAUGCCUUCAUUUUUUUUUUAAUCUGUUCAAUCAUGUCCAAUUCUUGGAGACUGCCUGGACAAGUGCCUGUGGUUUUCUUGGCAGGUUUUUCAGAAGUGCUUUGCCAUUGCCUGCUUCCUAGGGCUGAGAGAGAAGGAUUGGCCCAAGGUCACCCAGCUGGCUUUGUGCCUAAGGUGGGACUAGAACUCUCAGUCUCCCAGUUUCUAGCCCGUUGCCUUAACCACUAGACCAAACUGGCUCAUGUCUUCAUAGGCCAGUCCAAAAUGUACACAGCCAAUUCUUUUACAUAGUCACUUGGUUGUAUUAUCUUUGAGGAGAAUAUAUUGCAACACAGGUUUUAAUUUAUGUUUAAAGCUCUUUGUGUUUGGUUGUUGAUCUGUCUACAAGAGCACUGAAUAAAUUUGUCACUGAAGAGACUCUAAAAUAUGAAAAAGAUCAAGAGCCCUCAAAGACAACUUUUGGGAGCACUAGCUCACGAAAUUAGGAGUUGGUUUAACUAAAUAAAUGAGACAUCAUGCAGGUGUUUGAGUCUUAGUAGGGAGUGCAACAUUGCCUUAAGUGAAAAUGUUGACUUCUAACCCAAAUUAAUGAUGCUGGUAAUAAAAACCUACCAUGCGUACCUGUGAUUCAGUCCUUACAAUAUUUAAAAUAAUUAACAUCAAAGGUGUAUUUUAGGGUACUAAAUUCAGUAAUCAAACAUUACCACAAUGCCAAACAUUAUCCUGAAUUAGGAAACUCAGCAAAGUUGAAACUAAAAGCCUCUUGAAUGGUUUAUGGAACAUACAUCUGCAGGAGAACAUCUUGGGUUCUACCUCAUUUGUUGUCCUUCUCUUUAAAAAAGGACUUCCAAAGGAUGUACCUCCAAGCCAAAUCCACCAAUUCUAUGCUGAUGUCAUUUAUAUGCUGUCAGGAAGAGUGCAUAGUAUCACCAUCUCUUUCACCAUAUAUGGGCCCUGACAUCAUCUUGGAGCGGGAAGCCACUGAAUUCCCAAGGCAGCCUUUGCUCUAGCUAAGAGUCAUAGCUUCCAGCACUGUUUGUUCUCCAGAGGCACAAUCCCACCACAGUCCUCUGUUUGACAAGAUGAAGGAAAAGAUAGGCUGUCUGGGUCCAAUCCAAGUAGGGCU